CAACACACAGCGGGAUGGCAGAGCGCCGCACGCGUAGCACGCCGGGACUAGCUAUCCAGCCUCCCAGCAGCCUCUGCGACGGGCGCGGUGCGUAAGUACCUCGCCGGUGGUGGCCGUUCUCCGUAAGAUGGCGGACCGGCGGCGGCAGCGCGCUUCGCAAGACACCGAGGACGAGGAAUCUGGUGCUUCGGGCUCCGACAGCGGCGGCUCCCCGUUGCGGGGAGGCGGGAGCUGCAGCGGUAGCGCUGGAGGCGGCGGCAGCGGCUCUCUGCCUUCACAGCGCGGAGGCCGAAUCGGGGCCCUUCAUCUGCGGCGGGUGGAGAGCGGGGGCGCCAAGAGCGCUGAGGAGUCGGAGUGUGAGAGUGAAGAUGGCAUUGAAGGUGAUGCUGUUCUCUCGGAUUAUGAAAGUGCAGAAGACUCGGAAGGUGAAGAAGGUGAAUACAGUGAAGAGGAAAACUCCAAAGUGGAGCUGAAAUCAGAAGCCAAUGAUGCUGUUAAUUCUUCAACAAAAGAAGAGAAGGGAGAAGAAAAACCUGACACCAAAAGCACUGUGACUGGAGAGAGGCAAAGUGGGGACGGACAGGAGAGCACAGAGCCUGUGGAGAACAAAGUGGGUAAAAAGGGCCCUAAGCAUUUGGAUGAUGAUGAAGAUCGGAAGAAUCCAGCAUACAUACCUCGGAAGGGGCUCUUCUUUGAGCAUGAUCUUCGAGGGCAAACUCAGGAGGAGGAAGUCAGACCCAAGGGGCGUCAGCGAAAGCUAUGGAAGGAUGAGGGUCGCUGGGAGCAUGACAAGUUCCGGGAAGAUGAGCAGGCCCCAAAGUCCCGACAGGAGCUCAUUGCUCUUUAUGGUUAUGACAUUCGCUCAGCUCACAAUCCUGAUGACAUCAAACCCCGAAGAAUCCGGAAACCCCGAUAUGGGAGUCCGCCACAAAGAGAUCCAAACUGGAAUGGUGAGCGGCUAAACAAGUCUCAUCGCCACCAGGGUCUUGGGGGCACCCUACCACCAAGGACAUUUAUUAACAGGAAUGCUGCAGGUACUGGCCGUAUGUCUGCACCCAGGAAUUAUUCUCGAUCUGGGGGCUUCAAGGAAGGUCGUGCUGGUUUUAGGCCUGUGGAAGCUGGUGGGCAGCAUGGUGGCCGGUCUGGUGAGACUGUUAAGCAUGAGAUUAGUUACCGGUCACGGCACCUAGAGCAGACUCCUGUGAGGGAUCCAUCUCCAGAAGCAGAUGCUCCAGUGCUUGGCAGUCCUGAGAAGGAGGAGGCAGCCUCACCAGCUGCUGCUCCUGAUGCUGCACCACCACCCCCUGAUAGGCCCAUUGAGAAGAAAUCCUAUUCCCGAGCAAGAAGAACUCGAACCAAAGUUGGAGAUGCAGUCAAGCUUGCAGAGGAGGUGCCCCCUCCUCCUGAAGGACUGAUUCCAGCACCUCCAGUCCCAGAAACCACCCCAACUCCACCUACUAAGACUGGGAACUGGGAAGCUCCAGUGGAUUCUACUACAGGUGGACUUGAGCAAGAUGUGGCACAACUAAAUAUAGCAGAACAGAGUUGGAGUCCGGGGCAGCCUUCUUUCCUGCAACCACGGGAACUUCGAGGUAUGCCCAACCAUAUACACAUGGGAGCAGGACCUCCACCUCAGUUUAACCGGAUGGAAGAAAUGGUACAGAAGGAGAAAGGGGUAGAUGGGGGAGGGAGCUGCCUGUUACUCAGCUUGUUCAUUGUUUAAACCAAGAUAAGGUCUUUUUUUUUUCUUUUCUUUCUUUCUUUUUUUUUGAGACAGAGUCUCACUCCGUUGCCCAGGCUAGAGUGCAGUGACGGGAUCGCGGCUCACUGCAAGCUCUGCCUCCUGGGUCCCAGUUCAAGCAAUUCUGCCUCAG
rnacentral:sRNA from 1 species